CUCUGUCAACACCUUGAUUGGACUUCCAGCCUCUAGGACUAAAGAGAAAACAAGAGGCGAGGCAAGUGGAGCUCAGUUACACCAUAAGCAGGUGCCAGUUUGCCGGAGUUAGAACCGGAGUCUCUUCAGACUAGCUCUGUUCUGGAGGCAAAGGUCUUCAAAUAGUGUUACUGGCAGCCUGCAGUGGACGGCUCCUGGUGCUCCCGGUGCUCCCGGGACUGGGUCUGUCUGCCCUGGUGUUCACGCCUCGGCUUGCUGUGUGGUGGUCUCCUUCACCGGGGAUAUGCCUCUCCUCCUACAGGGACAAGGCAGCUUGCAAUGAAACACUCAGGGUGGUGGAAAUCCACACACGAUAAAGAAUGAGACAAAAAUACAGUGGGAAAAGAGAGAAAACCAUCCUGGAAGCCACAGAUUACAAGCUCCACAAGAAAACAGGCACUUGCUGUUUCUUCUUCUGGCACAAGUGAAGUGUAGAAUCUGAUUUUGCAUGAAAGUCUGAGAGCUGGCUUCAGAGAAGUCAUGAAGAAUUAAGAGAAUUAAUUAACAAUGCAUUAAGAGAAAUGACUUGUUCCCCAAUGCCCUUCCAACAGCCCAUCUUGACUGCCCUGCCUUUCGACCGUCACAACUGUCCCUCGCUGAAGUGAGGUCACAAGAGGAGAAGCUGAAGGGGACCUUUCCAAGUUGUACCCAUAGAGCAGCUUGAUCACUGACUUCCAAAUAAGGUGAAAGCACAGCUUCAUUUUCCAGAUCUGAAAUGUCAGCCAACUGCACCAGCAUGAGAAGCGCCAUCUAGAGACACUGGGCACUAAGAUAAACAGAUCAUUCAGUAAAACAGAAACCAUAUAGUAACAACUGAUGUCAGCAUCAGGGACAUUUUCAAACAACUACAACAGAUGACUAUAUGGAUGUGCACUGAGAUCAGAGAAACACUCCCUGUCUGGACUCUGAAUGCAAUGAAAUGAAAUCCUAUCAACUGUGCAGUUUUCAAGCACACAGUUACUUCUUCCUACUGUCUUUUCUCAAUCCACCACCUGCAUCCUCACCCUUGUUUGCAGGUUACCCUCCAUUUUAAGCUCCCAUCUCCCCACUUAAAAUUGGACCUUUUGAGCAUCUCCUUUCCUUCAGCAAGUGUUUAAAAGAAAAAAAAAAAAACACCUAAGAAAAACAACAGUGGGAAGCUGAUUCUCAACAUUACCUAAUUUUUCCAACCUGUUACAAACUGCAACUAAUAAAAUCAAGAGGGAGUAUUAUUCCUUAAACACUCAGGGUAAACCAAUACCAAGUGAAAGGGCCAGGUUUUGACAAUGCAGUGAAGACCCUUCUGGAAAUGGCUGGUGAAAUGGCACUCCUUGAAGGCCCAUAUUUCACUAACUUGGCAAAACUUCGUUUCAAGGUCAUUUCCAAAUGCCUGUCUUGUGCAGAGCAGCAUGCGUGGAGCUACACUCGCGUGGCACCAGGUCAAUCCAUUAGUCAUUGCUGGAGCGAGCCUUCUGUGGAGAGGCAGCCUGCUUCCCAGUCAGACGGGCUUCGGAAGUGUGUGCCAAGAAAACUUUAAGAUUUGAAAUGUUACAGAAAAGAAGGUCGCAGCAUCUUUUAAUUGCCUACUAUCUGUGCAGACGGUGGCUUUUCAUAUUUUUAUGCAAAGAUUACACAUUACCCAGUGUGAAAACCGGGUUAAAAAAUGUGGUAAGUGAGUCUGUGCAUAUGUCUUCAAUUGAGUACAGUGCUGAGUGCCAAACUUUGACCAAGCUGAUCAGACUGGAGGUCUGUGUGAGAGCCUGAAGUGGUGGAAUCUAGUUGCUAUAGCUGCAAAUUAAACAAAUAAAUGAGACACCGUGGAAUGCAGCAAAAUAGCUGUGGUCUGAUGAGUUCAUAUUUGCCAUAUGUGUGAAUAUUAGCAGUCACAUUCUGAGUUUCAGCAAAGUUCUUUUCAAGAAGUGCAACAGAGGGCACAUGCUUUAAAAUAAAGAAAGAAGACCUGAAGUCUAUGUCCAAAGAUAAAUAUUUUACAUUUUGGAGGAGCUAUUAAGACAUAUCAUUAACUUUUUAGGUUAGGAGUAUAUACAAAUUCUGUGUUGCUAUAAAUACAAGAUUUCCACCCAGGCACUUUCCCUGGAAGUUUUAGAUAAAGCUUGACACUAACUUGUUACUUAGCAUUUGAUAGUGAAUUAAGAU